rnacentral:rRNA from 1 species
UACGAGGGGGGCAAAUGUUGUUCGGAUUUACUGGGCGUAAAGGGCGCGUAGGCAGCGUGACAAGUCACUUGUGAAAUCUCCGGGCUUAACUCGGAACGGUCAAGUGAUACUGUCGUGCUAGAGUACAGAAGGGGCAACUGGAAUUCUCGGUGUAGCGGUGAAAUGCGUAGAUAUCGAGAGGAACACCUGCGGCGAAGGCGGGUUGCUGGGCUGAUACUGACGCUGAGGCGCGAAAGCUAGGGGAGCGAACGGG